UACGUAGGGUGCAAGCGUUGUCCGGAACUAUUGGGCGUAAAGAGCUCGUAGGCGGUUUGUCGCGUCUGCUGUGAAAACCCGAGGCUCAACCUCGGGCCUGCAGUGGGUACGGGCAGACUAGAGUGCGGUAGGGGAGAUUGGAAUUCCUGGUGUAGCGGUGGAAUGCGCAGAUAUCAGGAGGAACACCGAUGGCGAAGGCAGAUCUCUGGGCCGUAACUGACGCUGAGGAGCGAAAGCAUGGGUAGCGAACAGG
rnacentral:rRNA from 1 species